rnacentral:rRNA from 1 species
GACGAACGCUGGCGGCGUGCUUAACACAUGCAAGUCGAACGGAAUGUCGUAGACAGUAGCCUCGGCUAAAGAUUACUAAUGAGAUUGGUGAACGGGGGAGUAACUCGUUAGCAACCUGCCUAUGACAGUGGGAUAGCCUCCGGAUACCGGGAUUAAUACCGCAUAAAAUCGUAGAAACACAAGUUUCAACGGUCAAAGAUUUAUCGGUCAAAGAGGGGCUCGCGUCUCAUUACCUAGUUGGAGAGAUAACAGGACACCAAGGCGACGAUCAGUAGCCGGGAUGAGAGGAAGGGCCGCGACAUUGGAGCUGAGACACAGUACGAACUCCUACGGGAGGCGGGAGUGGGGAACAUUGCAAAAUGGGGGAAACCCUGAUGGAGCGACGACGGGUGAACGAAGAAGGUAGUCGUAUCGUAAAGUUCUGUUAUAUGGGAAGAUAAUGACGGUACCAAAGAAGAAAGCCCCGGCUAACUACGUG